UACGAAGGGGGCUAGCGUUGUUCGGAAUCACUGGGUCGGUAAAGCGCACGUAGGCGGACUUUUAAGUCAGGGGUGAAAGCCUGAGGCUCAACCUCAGAACUGCCCUUGAUACUGGGAGUCUUGAGUAUGGUAGAGGUUGGUGGAACAGCAAGUGUAGAGGUGAAAUUCGUAGAUAUUUGCUAGAACACCAGUGGCGAAGGCGGCUAACUGGACCAUAACUGACGCUGAGGUGCGAAAGCGUGGGGAGCAAACAGG
rnacentral:rRNA from 1 species